ACGUAGGUGGCAAGCGUUGUCCGGAUUUAUUGGGCGUAAAGCGAGCGCAGGCGGUCUUUUAAGUCUGAUGUGAAAGCCCCCGGCUUAACCGGGGAGGGUCAUUGGAAACUGGGAGACUUGAGUGCAGAAGAGGAAAGCGGAAUUCCAUGUGUAGCGGUGAAAUGCGUAGAUAUAUGGAGGAACACCAGUGGCGAAGGCGGCUUUCUGGUCUGUAACUGACGCUGAGGCUCGAAAGCGUGGGGAGCAAACAGGAUUAGAUACCCUGGUAGUCCACGCCGUAAACGAUGAGUGCUAAGUGUUGGAGGGUUUCCGCCCUUCAGUGCUGCAGCAAACGCAUUAAGCACUCCGCCUGGGGAGUACGACCGCAAGGUUG
rnacentral:rRNA from 1 species